rnacentral:rRNA from 1 species
AUUGAACGCUGGCGGCAGGCCUAACACAUGCAAGUCGAGCGUGCGGCGGACGGUUGAGUAAUGUAUGGGGACUGCCCGAUAGCGGGGGAUAACUACUGGAUACGGCUGCUAAUACCGCAUUAUGUCGGAUUACGCAUAUGGGAUUAGCUAGUAGGUAAGGUAAUGGCUUAUCUAGGCGACGAUCCCUAGCUGGUCUGCGAGGUUGAUCAGCCACACUGGGACUGAGACACGGCCCAGACUCCUACGGAGGCAGCAGUGGGGAAUAUUGCACAAUGGGCGCAAGCCUGAUGCAGCCAUGCCGCGUGUAUGAAGAAGGCCCUAGGGUUGUAAAGUACUUUCAGUCGGGAGGCGUUACCGACAGAGGAAGCAACGGCUAACUCCGUGCCAGCAGCCGCGGUAAUUC